UACGUAGGGUGCGAGCGUUGUCCGGAAUUAUUGGGCGUAAAGAGCUCGUAGGCGGCUUGUCGCGUCGACCGUGAAAACUUGGGGCUCAACCCUAAGCCUGCGGUCGAUACGGGCAGGCUCGAGUUCGGUAGGGGAGACUGGAAUUCCUGGUGUAGCGGUGAAAUGCGCAGAUAUCAGGAGGAACACCGGUGGCGAAGGCGGGUCUCUGGGCCGAUACUGACGCUGAGGAGCGAAAGCGUGGGGAGCGAACAGG
rnacentral:rRNA from 1 species